rnacentral:snRNA from 1 species
GGAUGUGAGGCCCAUUUGGCUGCGACAUCUGUCGCCCCAUUGAUUGCCAGGGUUGAUUCGGCUGAUCUGGCUGGCCUGGGGUGUCCCCUUCCUCCCUCACUGCUCCUUGUGCAUCUGUCUGUCCCUCCUGAAGCUGCAAACUCAGUGGAAGAAGAGACCAUCCCCGACAAAGGAGGACCAUUUCUUCCGUCUAGGAUGUAAGAGCAGUGCGCUCCCUUCUAGAACCUCACCUCCAAACAAACUGGGAGGGUUAGGGGAAAGGAAAGAAGGGAGAGGAAAAGUUAUGAGAAAAGAAAAAAAAAUGGAGACGAAGUCUAUGU